CUUUUUAUAAUGUAUCUUGUAU
rnacentral:snRNA from 1 species